GCUUAUGACCACACCGGCCUGAGUACGCCUGAUCUCGUCUGAUCUCGGAAGCUAAGCAGGGUCGGGCCUGGUUAGUACUUGGAUGGGAGACUUCCUGGGAAUACCAGGUGAUGUAAGCU
rnacentral:rRNA from 1 species